GAUGAACGCUGGCGGCGUGCCUAAUACAUGCAAGUCGAACGAGUUCUGAUUAUUGAAAGGUGCUUGCAUCUUGAUUUAAUUUUGAACGAGUGGCGGACGGGUGAGUAACACGUGGGUAACCUGCCCUUAAGUGGGGGAUAACAUUUGGAAACAGAUGCUAAUACCGCAUAAAUCCAAGAACCGCAUGGUUCUUGGCUGAAAGAUGGCGUAAGCUAUCGCUUUUGGAUGGACCCGCGGCGUAUUAGCUAGUUGGUGAGGUAACGGCUCACCAAGGCAAUGAUACGUAGCCGAGCUGAGAGGUUGAUCGGCCACAUUGGGACUGAGACACGGCCCAAACUCCUACGGGAGGCAGCAGUAGGGAAUCUUCCACAAUGGACGCAAGUCUGAUGGAGCAACGCCGCGUGAGUGAAGAAGGCUUUCGGGUCGUAAAACUCUGUUGUUGGAGAAGAAUGGUCGGCAGAGUAACUGUUGUCGGCGUGACGGUAUCCAACCAGAAAGCCACGGCUAACUACGUGCCAGCAGCCGCGGUAAUACGUAGGUGGCAAGCGUUAUCCGGAUUUAUUGGGCGUAAAGCGAGCGCAGGCGGUUUUUUAAGUCUGAUGUGAAAGCCCUCGGCUUAACCGAGGAAGUGCAUCGGAAACUGGAAAACUUGAGUGCAGAAGAGGACAGUGGAACUCCAUGUGUAGCGGUGAAAUGCGUAGAUAUAUGGAAGAACACCAGUGGCGAAGGCGGCUGUCUGGUCUGUAACUGACGCUGAGGCUCGAAAGCAUGGGUAGCGAACAGG
rnacentral:rRNA from 2 species